AGGCGCACAGUCUUUUUUUUUCUCUCGGAGCUGAGAAGAGCUAGAUCAUCCUCCCAAUCAAAAAGGCAGAUAAAUGUACAACUUAGAGCAGUUAGGGAAAUUUCCCCUGUGUUGUUGACGUUGGUCAGAAGUACAGAGAAGGGAAGCAGUUGUUUACAGGGCAUACAACAUAAAAAGAAACUAACACAAGACCCAUCCUUUUUAAGAAGCAACUGGUCCUGUCUUCUUACUGAGAAUUUAAAAUUUUACUUCAGAGUUAUCAGCUCGAAUACAGCCCACAGACCACCAGACCACAGUCAACUAUGGAAAUGCCCUCUUGAGGAUCCCUCCUAUUGCCUUUUACACCCGUGCCUUCAAUGGAGCAGCUGUGGGGAUGUUGGAAGACAUG